GAGUGGCGGACGGGUGAGUAACGCGUGAGCAACCUGCCCUUCGGAACGGGAUAGUGUCUGGAAACGGACAGUAAUACCGUAUAACGUAUUUUUACCGCAUGAUAGAAAUACCAAAACUGAGGUGCUGAAGGAUGGGCUCGCGUCUGAUUAGAUAGUUGGUGAGGUAAUGGCUCACCAAGGCGACGAUCAGUAGCCGACCUGAGAGGGUGAUCGGCCACAUUGGAACUGAGACACGGUCCAAACUCCUACGGGAGGCAGCAGUGGGGAAUAUUGCACAAUGGGCGAAAGCCUGAUGCAGCAACGCCGCGUGAGCGAUGAAGGCCUUCGGGUCGUAAAGCUCUGUCCUCAAGGAAGAUAAUGACGGUACUUGAGGAGGAAGCCCCGGCUAACUACGUGCCAGCAGCCGCGGUAAUACGUAGGGGGCUAGCGUUAUCCGGAUUUACUGGGCGUAAAGGGUGCGUAGGCGGUCUUUUAAGUCAGGAGUGAAAGGCUACGGCUCAACCGUAGUAAGCUCUUGAAACUGGAGGACUUGAGUGCAGGAGAGGAGAGUGGAAUUCCUAGUGUAGCGGUGAAAUGCGUAGAUAUUAGGAGGAACACCAGUAGCGAAGGCGGCUCUCUGGACUGUGACUGACGCUGAGGCACGAAAGCGUGGGGAGCAAACAGGAUUAGAUACCCUGGUAGUCCACGCCGUAAACGAUGAGUACUAGGUGUCGGGGGUUACCCCCCUCGGUGCCGCAGCUAACGCAUUAAGUACUCCGCCUGGGGAGUACGCUCGCAAGAGUGAAGCUCAAAGGAAUUGACGGGGACCCGCACAAGUAGCGGAGCAUGUGGUUUAAUUCGAAGCAACGCGAAGAACCUUACCUAAGCUUGACAUCCUUUUGACCGAUGCCUAAUCGCAUCUUUCCCUUCGGGGACAGAAGUGACAGGUGGUGCAUGGUUGUCGUCAGCUCGUGUCGUGAGAUGUUGGGUUAAGUCCCGCAACGAGCGCAACCCUUGCCUUUAGUUGCCAUCAUUAAGUUGGGCACUCUAGAGGGACUGCCAGGGAUAACCUGGAGGAAGGUGGGGAUGACGUCAAAUCAUCAUGCCCCUUAUGCUUAGGGCUACACACGUGCUACAAUGGGUGGUACAGAGGGCAGCAAAGUCGUGAGGCCAAGCUAAUCCCUUAAAGCCAUUCUCAGUUCGGAUUGUAGGCUGAAACUCGCCUACAUGAAGCUGGAGUUACUAGUAAUCGCAGAUCAGAAUGCUGCGGUGAAUGCGUUCCCGGGUCUUGCACACACCGCCCGUCA
rnacentral:rRNA from 1 species